CUCGUAGGCGGUUCGUCGCGUCCGGUGUGAAAGUCCAUCGCUUAACGGUGGAUCUGCGCCGGGUACGGGCGGGCUGGAGUGCGGUAGGGGAGACUGGGAAUUCCCGGUGUAACGGUGGAAUGUGUAGAUAUCGGGAAGAACACCAAUGGCGAAGGCAGGUCUCUGGGCCGUUACUGACGCUGAGGAGCGAAAGCGUGGGGAGCGAACA
rnacentral:rRNA from 1 species